AGCACCAUUCAGAAACAUUGCUUGCCAGUCUGGAGACUGGCACUUACCCUUUUAUAAAGCACAUGUGGAAAUGAAAGACAGGUUUUUUCACCUUCAUGAUUCCAGUUGGGGACCAGGUUACCAGCACUUGAAGGUCAGAGAGGGAAUGUUCCUGCUGAGGACGGACCCCCAGGAGGGAAGAAGUUGAUCCAGUCCCCCCACAUCUCCUUUCUUCGUGUUCCUGAUCCUAUCAUGGGUUUUGGUCAACAGUUCUGGAAAGUUCUCUGGGGUCCAGGACUAGGGGGUUCCUCUAGGAUCUCAACUCAGUCUUCUCCCUGGCCUCUCACGUGAGCUUUUCUUCUUACAGGUGAGAAAGGAGGGAGCUACGCCCAGGCUGCAAGCAGUGACAGUGCCCAGGGCUCUGAUGUGUCUCUCACGGAUCCUAAAGUGUGAGACAGCAGCCUCGUGGGACUGGGUGAUGCAUGGUCCCAAUUUGUGGCUUCAGAUCCCGUGACUCCUCUUUCUGCAGCUGCAUCUGAAUGUGUCUGUGUUCCUCGUAGCCUAAUGUGAGGAGGUGGGGAGACUGGCCCACCCCUGCCCACCACGACCCCUCCCCACCCUGACCUGUGUUCUCUUCCCUGAUCCACUUGCCUGUUCCAGCAGAGGCAGGGCUGGGCCACCUCCAUCCCUGUCUUAACUUCGUGGUGCACUGAAUAAUAAUCUCUUACUUGCCAGUUGGAAAUAAAAUCUGUAUAUGAA